CGUAGGGGGCAAGCGUUAUCCGGAAUUAUUGGGCGUAAAGAGUGCGUAGGUGGUUUUGUAAGCGCGAGGUGAAAGGCAAUAGCUCAACUAUUGUAAGCCUUGUGAACUGCAAGACUUGAGUGCAGGAGAGGAAAGUGGAAUUCCUAGUGUAGCGGUGAAAUGCGCAGAUAUUAGGAGGAACACCAGUGGCGAAGGCGACUUUCUGGACUGUAACUGACACUGAGGCACGAAAGCGUGGGGAGCAAACAGGAUUAGAUACCCUGGUAGUCCACGCCGUAAACGAUGAGCACUAGGUGUCGGGGCCGCAAGGUUUCGGUGCCGCAGUUAACGCAUUAAGUGCUCCGCCUGGGGAGUACGCACGCAAGUGUG
rnacentral:rRNA from 1 species